rnacentral:snoRNA from 1 species
GGCCUCCUCAUCCUCAAGGGCGGGCCGCUUUCCUAUUCUGUGUAUAUAGAAAGAGGGGGCAGAGUAAACCUACCCCAGUCCAGGCUACUGUUCCUAGUCUGUGGAUGGGAGACCUUG